GAGAUCCACUAUCUGCAAUAAGGAGUAAUUUUUCAUGGAGGACCUAGAAACCAAAGCCAUCCACACACUGCAGACCCACACUCUGGAAACGAUAUGUUGAUGACAUCCUGGAAAUAAUAAAAUCUGGACACACACAAGAACUUAUCGAUCAUCUGAACGACAUGGACGACACAGGAAAUAUACAAUUCAUGCACGAAGAAGAAAUAAACCGGACCAUUUCAUUUUUGGACUUAAACAUACACCACAGAGAAGACAGCAGCAUUAAGAUCACAGUUUACAGGAAACCUACACAUACAGACCAGAACCUCCUCUGGACAUCAGAACAUCCCACAGUUUACAAACUAUCAGUAGUUAGAACACUUUAUGAAAGGACAAGUAUCAUAACAGACGAUAAAAACAAACAGGAGGAGGAAAAACACAUCAAGAACGCACUCACACACUGCCAAUACCUGACAUGGGCCAUCAACAAAGGAAAACAACAAGCUAAAAACAAAGUAAAUACACAAAAGGAAACACAAACAAAACAACCGGACAAUAAAAACAAAGACACAAUCACCAUCCCAUACAUCCGUGGGAUAACAGAACCCAUACAGCGCAUAAUGAAAAAACACAACAUCAACACAGCAGUAAAACCACAUACAAAACUCCGGCAGCUAUUAGUCCAUCCCAAAGACAAAAUAGAACCGGACAAGAAAUGCAGCAUCAUUUAUGAAAUUCCGUGCAAAUCUUGCGAGAAAACAUACAUUGGAGAAACAGGCAGAUCAUUCAGCACAAGACGAAAAGAACACCAGACAGAAUGCGAAAAGGAAACAACUGGACGACUCACAAGAACACAAAAAGAAAAAGCCGAACAAGAAAACAAAAAAUCAGCCAUCAGGGAUCACUGCAAAAGAAAUAAUCAUAUCAUGGACUGGGACAGGGGGAGGAUUGUAACAUCGGAGACCAACAAGCAUAAACGAUGGAUCAAGGAGGCCAUCGAGAUCAGGAAGCGGGCGAGCUGCUCCAUGAACCGGGACGAGGGGGACUACACCCUCUAAUACCUGGGACUCCAUCCUCCAGAGAGCACCUGGCGGCGGGGGGCGUGGCCUAUCUGACAGAUUCUGACAGAUCUGUCAGACCGGUCACCUGAUAAAAAAGGACACGUCAGCACACGUCAGAUGACGCUCUGAAGAAGACUGCAGUUGCAGUUGAAACAUGUCAGCUAAGACCUGACCGUGAACACCGUUGACACCCACCUCAGGGAGACGCUGCCUAAGAUCUCAAGGCUGCUUGGUCGUGGUCUUUCUGGCACGUACUCUUCCAAGAUGAGCCGGGAAGUUUAACACUGAUGGAAUGACACCAGGUCUAAGCCGACAAACUUCCACUUCCUCCUCAACCCAUAGUCUCUGGGAAACCUACAUGGAGUAAGAAAAGUAGACAGAGAAAACAAUUGUGGGUGUUAUAUCUAGAUAACCACAAGAUGGCAGCGGAUGUUGCAUUCCAGUAGCUGGGAGACUUCAGAGAGCAGCCGAUGCACCAAGCUGACACAAGGGAGCAAAGGCAACAGGAAACCUGAGCUGAAACCAAACAGCGCCUGUGAAGGACCUGACCUCAGUGCCCCUGCAAAACCCUGGAGCUGCCGCCUUCAGAGGCUCCUCUCGACCCCUGGCCCCUCGGCUCUGUGUCUGAAAACUACUACUAUUGUAUCUAGUGACAUUUACAGCCAGCGUGCGUCAGUGUCUUUGUUGAAACAAUUACAGAAGCCUUUUGUCAGACAUGAUAGUCUGAGAUGCUGCAGUUGACUCUGCCUUCCAGUGGCCUCAGAGAUGUCUCUGUGUCACUCUGACAACAUUAAGGAGCCUAAUUGCAUCAUUCGUUUAAUACGAAGAGAAAAAGUAGGACAGAUAAAUCUUGCAACACACAGAAGCCUGUAAAUCAUGGCUACGUAACUGCUGGAGGACAUACAAAGAAGCUGAAAUGGAAGAUCCAAGGCUGAAGUGAGGAAGCUGCUAGUCUAAAUUUUUGGACAUUCUUAUACUUUUUUCCUCCUAUGUCUGACUGUGUGUCAAGACCUCCAUCUGUUUUUACUGUUGUUUGAGUACUGUCACUGAUGCAAGAAAGGAUUUCUGUCAUGACUGCCCAUCAGAUCAGAUGCUCUUCCGUGCUUUUCUUCUUUACUUUUAUCUUGGCUCAGGUAGGGGAAGUGGUUUUCUGUAAAUCAAAGUGAACCAAUAAAUAAAAGAACAUCAAA